rnacentral:miRNA from 1 species
AGCCCCCUGGCCCCAAACCC